CCUUCUACGAGCAUCUACUGAUCGAGGUCACCUGUAAAGAAUUGGGGGGUUUUACGGCAAGAGUCCCUCCGGAUCCCAGUGCGAGACGUUAGUUACUACGCAAAGGAGGCUCCGGGAGGGUCCGCCACUACCUUCAAGGGCCCACGUGUGCCGUGGGGCCCCAAAACCAAGCGGUGCUUGAGGGUUGAAAUGACGCUCGAACAGGCAUGCUCGCCAGAAUGCUGGCGAGCGCAAUGUGCGUUCAAAGAUUCGAUGAUUCACUGAAUUCUGCAAUUCACAUUACUUAUCGCAUUUCGCUGCGUUCUUCAUCGAUGCCAGAACCAAGAGAUCCGUUGUUAAAAGUUUUAAUUAUUUGCUUGUGCCACUCAGAAGAGACGUCGUGUAAAUAGAGUUUGGUUUCCUCCGGCGGGCGCCCCGUCCCCGUGGUGGGGGCCGGCGCCGGGAGGGGAGGCCCGCGAGAGGCUUCCCCUGCCCGCCGAAGCAACGGUUAGGUACGUUCACAAAGGGUUAUAGAGCGGUAACUCAGUAAUGAUCCCUCCGCUGGUUCACCAACGGAGACCUUGUAA
rnacentral:misc_RNA from 1 species